AGCCCGCUCGCCGGAAGACCAAGGGUUCCUGUCCAACGUUAAUCGGGGCAGGGUGAGUCGACCCCUAAGGCGAGGCCGAAAGGCGUAGUCGAUGGGAAACAGGUUAAUAUUCCUGUACUUGGUGUUACUGCGAAGGGGGGACGGAGAAGGCUAUGUUGGCCGGGCGACGGUUGUCCCGGUUUAAGCGUGUAGGCUGGUUUUCCAGGCAAAUCCGGAAAACCAAGGCUGAGGCGUGAUGACGAGGCACUACGGUGCUGAAGCGACAAAUGCCCUGCUUCCAGGAAAAGCCUCUAAGCAUCAGGUAACAUCAAAUCGUACCCCAAACCGACACAGGUGGUCAGGUAGAGAAUACCAAGGCGCUUGAGAGAACUCGGGUGAAGGAACUAGGCAAAAUGGUGCCGUAACUUCGGGAGAAGGCACGCUGAUAUGUAGGUGAAGCGACUUGCUCGUGGAGCUGAAAUCAGUCGAAGAUACCAGCUGGCUGCAACUGUUUAUUAAAAACACAGCACUGUGCAAACACGAAAGUGGACGUAUACGGUGUGACGCCUGCCCGGUGCCGGAAGGUUAAUUGAUGGGGUUAGCGGUAACGCGAAGCUCUUGAUCGAAGCCCCGGUAAACGGCGGCCGUAACUAUAACGGUCCUAAGGUAGCGAAAUUCCUUGUCGGGUAAGUUCCGACCUGCACGAAUGGCGUAAUGAUGGCCAGGCUGUCUCCACCCGAGACUCAGUGAAAUUGAACUCGCUGUGAAGAUGCAGUGUACCCGCGGCAAGACGGAAAGACCCCGUGAACCUUUACUAUAGCUUGACACUGAACAUUGAGCCUUGAUGUGUAGGAUAGGUGGGAGGCUUUGAAGUGUGGACGCCAGUCUGCAUGGAGCCGACCUUGAAAUACCACCCUUUAAUGUUUGAUGUUCUAACGUUGGCCCGUAAUCCGGGUUGCGGACAGUGUCUGGUGGGUAGUUUGACUGGGGCGGUCUCCUCCUAAAGAGUAACGGAGGAGCACGAAGGUUGGCUAAUCCUGGUCGGACAUCAGGAGGUUAGUGCAAUGGCAUAAGCCAGCUUGACUGCGAGCGUGACGGCGCGAGCAGGUGCGAAAGCAGGUCAUAGUGAUCCGGUGGUUCUGAAUGGAAGGGCCAUCGCUCAACGGAUAAAAGGUACUCCGGGGAUAACAGGCUGAUACCGCCCAAGAGUUCAUAUCGACGGCGGUGUUUGGCACCUCGAUGUCGGCUCAUCACAUCCUGGGGCUGAAGUAGGUCCCAAGGGUAUGGCUGUUCGCCAUUUAAAGUGGUACGCGAGCUGGGUUUAGAACGUCGUGAGACAGUUCGGUCCCUAUCUGCCGUGGGCGCUGGAGAACUGAGGGGGGCUGCUCCUAGUACGAGAGGACCGGAGUGGACGCAUCACUGGUGUUCGGGUUGUCAUGCCAAUGGCACUGCCCGGUAGCUAAAUGCGGAAGAGAUAAGUGCUGAAAGCAUCUAAGCACGAAACUUGCCCCGAGAUGAGUUCUCCCUGACUCCUUGAGGGUCCUGAAGGAACGUUGAAGACGACGACGUUGAUAGGCCGGGUGUGUAAGCGCAGCGAUGCGUUGAGCUAACCGGUACUAAUGAACCGUGAGGCUUAACCUU
rnacentral:rRNA from 1 species